rnacentral:rRNA from 1 species
UUAGAAUUAAGUGCAAGUGGUAGGAGAGCGUUCUAUUCAGCGUUGAAGGUAUACCGGUAAGGAGUGCUGGAGCGGAUAGAAGUGAGCAUGCAGGCAUGAGUAGCGAUAAUUGAUGUGAGAAUCAUCAACGCCGAAAACCCAAGGUUUCCUACGCGAUGCUCGUCAUCGUAGGGUUAGUCGGGUCCUAAGCAAAGUCCGAAAGGGGUAUGCGAUGGAAAAUUGGUUAAUAUUCCAAUACCAAUUAUUAUGUGCGAUGGAAGGACGCUUAAAGUUAGUGGAGCUAGCGGAUGGAAGUGCUAGUCUAAGGGUGUAGGUUGAGUUAUAGGCAAAUCCGUAACUCUUUAUCCGAGACCUAAAAGGCUCAUGACGCUCUUCGGAGUAGAUUGAGAAUCCAUGAUACUAUCGAGCCAAGAAAAGUUUCUAAGUUUAGUAAUAAUUGCCCGUACCGUAAACCGACACAGGUGGGUGGGAUGAGUAUUCUAAGGCGCGUGGAAGAACUCUCUUUAAGGAACUCUGCAAAAUAGCACCGUAUCUUCGGUAUAAGGUGUGCCUAACUUUGUAUUAAGAUUCACUCCCAAAGCAAAGAAGGUUACAACAAAGAGUCCCUCCCGACUGUUUACCAUAAACACAGCACUCUGCUAACACGUAAGUGGAUGUAUAGGGUGUGACGCCUGCCCGGUGCUCGAAGGUUAAUUGAUGAUGUUAGCUAUGCGAAGCAUUUGAUCGAAGCCCGAGUAAACGGCGGCCGUAACUAUAACGGUCCUAAGGUAGCGAAAUUCCUUGUCGGUUAAAUACCGACCUGCAUGAAUGGCGUAACGAGAUGGGAGCUGUCUCAAAGAGGGAUCCAGUGAAAUUGUAGUGGAGGUGAAAAUUCCUCCUACCCGCGGCAAGACGGAAAGACCCCGUGGACCUUUACUACAGCUUGACACUGCUAUUUGGAUAAAGAUGCGCAGGAUAGGUGGGAGCUUUGAUCCAUAGACCUGGUUUAUGGUGAGCCAUUGUUGAGAUACCACUCUUCUUUAUUCGAGUAGCUAACUAGCCUAAGUUAUCCUUAGGUAGGACAAUGUCUGGUGGGUAGUUUGACUGGGGCGGUCGCCUCCCAAAAUGUAACGGAGGCUUACAAAGGUUGGCUCAGAACGGUUGGAAAUCGUUCGUAGAGUAUAAAGCAUAAGCCAGCUUAACUGCAAGACAUACACGUCAAGCAGAGACGAAAGUCGGUCUUAGUGAUCCGGUGGUUCUGUGUGGAAGGGCCAUCGCUCAAAGGAUAAAAGGUACCCCGGGGAUAACAGGCUGAUCUCCCCCAAGAGCUCACAUCGACGGGGAGGUUUGGCACCUCGAUGUCGGCUCAUCGCAUCCUGGGGCUGGAGCAGGUCCCAAGGGUAUGGCUGUUCGCCAUUUAAAGCGGUACGCGAGCUGGGUUCAGAACGUCGUGAGACAGUUCGGUCCCUAUCUGCCGUGGGCGUAAGAAGAUUGAGGAGAGUUGACCCUAGUACGAGAGGACCGGGUCGAACUAGCACUGGUGUACCAGUUGUUCUGCCAAGAGCAUCGCUGGGUAGCUAAGCUAGGAUGAGAUAAGAGCUGAAAGCAUCUAAGCUCGAAGCCAACUCCAAGAUGAAUCUUCUUUUAAGAGCUCUAGUAGACUACUAGUUUGAUAGGCUGGGUGUGUAAUGGAUGAAAGUCCUUUAGCUGACCAGUACUAAUAGCUCGUUUGCUUAUCUUUAUAUAAGCAUCACUUC